rnacentral:rRNA from 1 species
AUUGAACGCUGGCGGCAUGCUUUACACAUGCAAGUCGAACGGUAACAGGCCGCAAGGUGCUGACGAGUGGCGAACGGGUGAGUAAUGCAUCGGAACGUGCCCAGUCGUGGGGGAUAACUGCUCGAAAGAGCAGCUAAUACCGCAUACGAUCUGCGGAUGAAAGCGGGGGACCUUCGGGCCUCGCGCGAUUGGAGCGGCCGAUGUCAGAUUAGGUAGUUGGUGGGGUGAAGGCUCACCAAGCCAACGAUCUGUAGCAGGUCUGAGAGGACGACCAGCCACACUGGGACUGAGACACGGCCCAGACUCCUACGGGAGGCAGCAGUGGGGAAUUUUGGACAAUGGGGGCAACCCUGAUCCAGCAAUGCCGCGUGCAGGAAGAAGGCCUUCGGGUUGUAAACUGCUUUUGUACGGAACGAAACGGUCUGGGUUAAUACCCUGGGCUAAUGACGGUACCGUAAGAAUAAGCACCGGCUAACUACGUGCCAGCCGCCGCAGUAAAAC